AAUACCUGAUCAUGUUAAAUUACUAAAGCAAAGAGUUGGGAAACUCCGGUGAAAUUCCGGGACUGUGCCGCAGCUGUAAUGGUAAGACCAAAACAGAGCAUUGAGUUUUUUACUUGCCAAGUCAGAAUGCCAACCCUAACAGUGUCUAUGGGU
rnacentral:ncRNA from 20 species